GUUUUCAUUAAUCAAGAACGAAAGUUAGGGGAUCGAAGACGAUCAGAUACCGUCGUAGUCUUAACCAUAAACGAUGCCGACCAGCGAUUAGGAGACGUUGAAUACAAAACACCACCAUCGGCGCGGUCGUCCCUGGCUCGUCGUCUCACGACGGGCGGGCGGGGGCGGUUUAGCCCGAUGGCACCGGUGAAUGACUCCCCUAGCAGCUUGUGAGAAAA
rnacentral:rRNA from 1 species